AUUGAAGAGUUUGAUCAUGGCUCAGAGCGAACGUUAGCGGCGCGCCUAACACAUGCAAGUCGCACGAGAGGGGGGCAACCCCUGAAAGUGGCGCACGGGUGCGUAACACGUAGAUAAUCUGCCCUUUGGCGGGGGAUAACGUUCCGAAAGGAGCGCUAAUACCGCAUACAGCGUCUGGUGGUUCGCCACUGGAUGGCAAAGGUUGGGACCCGCAAGGGCCAAUCGCCGAAGGAGGAGUCUGCGGCCCAUCAGCUAGUUGGUAAGGUAACGGCUUACCAAGGCAAAGACGGGUAGCUGGUCUGAGAGGAUGAUCAGCCACACUGGUACUGGAACACGGACCAGACUCCUACGGGAGGCAGCAGUGGGGAAUCUUGGUCAAUGGGCGCAAGCCUGAACCAGCGACGCCGCGUGAGUGAUGAAGGCCUUCGGGUUGUAAAGCUCUGUGGGGAGGGACGAAAGCCUGGGUUCUAACAGGACUUAGUUUGACGGUACCUCCUUAGCAAGCACCGGCUAACUCUGUGCCAGCAGCCGCGGUAAGACAGAGGGUGCAAACGUUGCUCGGAAUCACUGGGCGUAAAGGGCGUGUAGGCGGGAAGGUAAGUCGGSCGUGAAAUCCYUGGSCUCAACCCAGGAACUGCACUCGAAACUACUUUUCUUGAGUGCCGGAGAGGAAAGCGGAAUUCCUGGUGUAGAGGUGAAAUUCGUAGAUAUCASGAGGAACACCAGUGGCGAARGCGGCUUUCUGGACGGUAACUGACGCUGAGACGCGAAAGCGUGGGGAGCAAACAGGAUUAGAUACCCUGGUAGUCCACGCCGUAAACGAUGAGCGCUAGGUGUCGUGGGUAUUGACCCCCGCGGUGCCGAAGCUAACGCAUUAAGCGCUCCGCCUGGGAAGUACGGUCGCAAGACUAAAACUCAAAGGAAUUGACGGGGGCCCGCACAAGCGGUGGAGCAUGUGGUUUGAUUCGACAAUAAACGGGAAACCUUACCAGGGCUUGACAUCUCCAGAAGUCCCGAGAAAUCGGGGUGUGCCGUAAGGAACUGGAUGACAGGUGCUGCAUGGUCGUCGUCAGCUCGUGCCUUGAGGUGUUCGGUUAAGUCCGUAAACGAGCGCAACCCAUGUCUUAUGUUGUAAUUCUCAUAAGAGACUGCCGGCUCCAAGUCGGAGGAAGGUAUGGAUGACGUCAGAUCAGCAUGGCCCUUAUGUCCUGGGCUACACGCGUGCUACAAUGGCCGAUACAAUGGGUAGCGAACCCGUAAGGGGGAGCCAAUCUCAUCAAAGCCGGUCUCAGUUCGGAUUGGGGGCUGCAAUUCGACCCCAUGAAGUUGGAAUCGCUAGUAACCGCAAAUCAGCUAUGUUGCGGUGAAUAUGUUCCUGGGUCUUGUACUCACCGCCCGUCACAUCAUGAAAGGUGGGGGUACCCGAAGUCGCCUUAGUCCUACGGGACGGGUGCCUAAGGUAAAACCAUUGAUUGGGAUGAAGUCGUAACAAGGUAACCAAUC
rnacentral:rRNA from 1 species